rnacentral:rRNA from 1 species
UUGGGCGUAAGAGCUCGUAGGUCGUUUGUCGCGUCGAUUGUGAAAAUCUGAGGCUCAACCUCAGACCUGCAGUCGAUACGGGCAAACUAGAGUGUGGUAGGGGAGACUGGAAUUCCUGGUGUAGCGGUGGAAUGCGCAGAUAUCAGGAGGAACACCAAUGGCGAAGGCAGGUCUCUGGGCCAAUACUGACACUGAGGAGCGAAAGUCUGGGGAGCGAACAGGAUUAGAUACCCUGGUAGUCCAGACCGUAAACGGUGGGCACUAGUUGUGGGAACCUUCCACGGUUUCUGCGACGCAGCUAACGCAUUAAGUGCCCCGCCUGGGGAGUACGAUCGCAAGAUUAAAACUCAAAGGAAUUGACGGGGCCCCGCACAAGCAGCGGAGCAUGCGGCUUAAUUCGACGCAACGCGAAGAACCUUACCAAGGCUUGACAUAUAGGGAAAAGUGGCAGAGAUGUCAUGUCCGCAAGGGCUCUAUACAGGUGGUGCAUGGUUGUCGUCAGCUCGUGUCGUGAGAUGUUGGGUUAAGUCCCGCAACGAGCGCAACCCUCGUUCUGUGUUGCCAGCAUUUAGUUGGGGACUCACAGGAGACUGCCGGGGUUAACUCGGAGGAAGGUGGGGAUGACGUCAAAUCAUCAUGCCCCUUAUGUCUUGGGCUGCACGCAUGCUACAAUGGCCGGUACAGAGGGCUGCAAUACCGUAAGGUGGAGCGAAUCCCAAAAAGCCGGUCUCAGUUCGGAUUGAGGUCUGCAACUCGACCUCAUGAAGUUGGAGUUGCUAGUAAUCGUAGAUCAGCAUCGCUACGGUGAAUACGUUCCCGGGGCUUGUACACACCGCCCGUCACGUCACGAAAGUC